AUGGGAACGCGAAGAACCUUACCUACUCUUGACAUCCAGAGAACUUUCCAGAGAUGGAUUGGUGCCUUCGGGAACUCUGAGACAGGUGCUGCAUGGCUGUCGUCAGCUCGUGUUGUGAAAUGUUGGGUUAAGUCCCGCAACGAGCGCAACCCGUUAUCCUUUGUUGCCAGCGGUUCGGCCGGGAACUCAAAGGAGACUGCCAGUGAUAAACUGGAGGAAGGUGGGGAUGACGUCAAAGUCAUCAUGGCCCUUACGAGUAGGGCUACACACGUGCUACAAUGGCGCAUACAAAGAGAAGCGACCUCGCGAGAGCAAGCGGACCUCAUAAAGUGCGUCGUAGUCCGGAUUGGAGUCUGCAACUCGACUCCAUGAAGUCGGAAUCGCUAGUAAUCGUAGAUCAGAAUGCUACGGUGAAUACGUUCCCGGGUCUUGUACACACCG
rnacentral:rRNA from 1 species